rnacentral:tRNA from 1 species
GGGGCUAUAGCUCAGUGGUAUAGCACUUGCCUAGCAUGCCUGAGCCCCUGGGUUCAAUCCCCAGUACUGCCC